rnacentral:rRNA from 1 species
AACGAACGCUGGCGGCAUGCCUAACACAUGCAAGUCGAACGAGACCUUCGGGUCUAGUGGCGCACGGGUGCGUAACGCGUGGGAACCUGCCCUUAGGUUCGGAAUAACUCCCCGAAAGGGGUGCUAAUACCGGAUAAUGUCUUCGGACCAAAGAUUUAUCGCCUUUGGAUGGGCCCGCGUUGGAUUAGCUAGUUGGUAGGGUAAAAGCCUACCAAGGCGACGAUCCAUAGCUGGUCUGAGAGGAUGAUCAGCCACACUGGGACUGAGACACGGCCCAGAAUCCUACGGGAGGCAGCAGUGGGGAAUCUUGGACAAUGGGCGAAAGCCUGAUCCAGCAAUACCGCGUGAGUGAUGAAGGCCUUAGGGUUGUAAAGCUCUUUUACCCGGGAUGAUAAUGACAGUACCGGGAGAAUAAGCACCGGCUAACUCCGUG